rnacentral:rRNA from 1 species
AUCAGAGUAGGAGUCCCCUUGGGGCAGAGUACAGGUGGUGCAUGUUGUGCUCACUGCCAAAUUGGGUAAUCCCCAACGACGCAAGAUCCUGAUCUUAUUUCCCAUUCAUUGGGCACUUAAGGUGACUGCCGGUGACAAACCGGAGGAAGGUGGGGAUGACGUCAAAUCAUCAUGCCCCUUAUGACCUGGGCUACACACGUGCUACAAUGGACAGAACAAAGGGCAGCGAAACCGCGAGGUUAAGCCAAUCCCACAAAUCUGUUCUCAGUUCGGAUCGCAGUCUGCAACUCGACUGCGUGAAGCUGGAAUCGCUAGUAAUCGCGGAUCAGCAUGCCGCGGUGAAUACGUUCCCGGGCCUUGUACACACCGCCCGUCACACCACGAGAGUUUGUAACACCCGAAGUCGGUGAGGUAACCUUUAAGGAGCCAGCCGCCGAAGGUGGACAGAUGAUUGGGGGG